AGCCAAGAUGGCGACUCUACUGCGUCCAUAACGAUAGGCUAUCAUACCGAAAAAGUUUGUGCCUAUUAAAUAUCCAACGCUAUCCGGUUUGAUAUGGGUACGAAGCCAAAUUGGUAAACAUGGUUCCAAGAUAGCCAUUGGUGAAGUCGAACACCAAAUUGCACCAGCGAUUAUUAUAACAAAUGGAUCUGAUAAUAGCUGUCUCCAGUCUGUUUCAUGAUUAGACGACUUACGCGAUAAUAGAAUCAUAUAUUAAAGUCAAAUUUAAGAUGAUCUAAUAAAGAUUAUUGAAAAAGAUGUUUUAAUUAAACUUACUUCUAUGUCAGUCUGAAUGUCGAGCGUUAAUAUCUGUAGACCUGUUGAAAGAAGAAAACAAAAGGAAGAAUUAACAAGAGAAGGAACGUAAUAAGAAAAUGAAGUGUCUUAAAAAAAAUAAAUAAAUAAAAA